CACCGCUCCGCCUUCUUCUUUUCGCAAUGUUGACGCAAUCUAUAAAUAGUGGAACAAAAGGACCAACUUCCUCGGAGCUUUGCUGAAACUGCACAAAAAAAUCGAGCUGGGGGGUUCCCUGGUCCCCGAUGUUGGGGCGGAGAGCGCGGCGCCCAGGGAGGGGGCGGCGCAGACCGGCCUAGGGGACACCUGGUCGAGCGCAGCCGCCGCUCCGCUCGAGCCCUGCGCUCCAGUGCCCCCACUGGCUGGAGAGCUCGCCCAGACCAGGGGUCUUCCUCCGUCGCUGACAGAUUUUAACCGUUAGAAGAGUACCAGUUCUGGAAAACAACCAAAGUUUCUUUGAUUGAAUGCCCAUGUAAUGCAUUGGAAUAUGAUAGGCGAUUAAGGUUUAACAAUGUUAAAAUGAAGAUAUUACUAAAAUGACCCUCUAAAUAGCCCAACAAUUAUUAUUUUGUAAGUAUUGGUUUCUAGCUCCUUCCUUCCUCAGUGACCCAUCACCACUGCAACGAAGACUUGUGUUUGGUAUCAUAUUUCCAUAUAUCUGAUAAUCUUUCUAUUUAUUCUUGAAUAACUUAAAUUGCCCAUUAACUCUCUAUUCAUGUUUGAUAUUAAUUUAGAACAAGAAUGAUUUCAUUGCCUCAGGAAACUUUACUAGUGUGGAAAGUAUUUAAUAGAAAGACCCUGUUAUCUCCAAGUCUGAAAUCACAAUAUUAAGUCCUUUCUUUAAAGUUUACAAAUAAGCAAAGAUUUUUUUUUAAGGCUUAUACAUUUCUUUAUUUAAUUUGUGAGUUUAACUGCAUGUAUAUAUGUGUAAGUGUAUGGUCCUGAUAUGCAGGAGAGAUGGAGACCAAGGUCAUCCGUAACAAUUGAGUGAAAUUCAGGACAGCCCUGCUUAUAUGAUCCCUUGUAUGGACAGGGGGCAGUUGGGGGACUGUAAAAUUUAAACAGUUAUACCAGGGUCUGAAUUUUGGUGGAGUGUAUAUUCAUUUUCUUUGUCUGAGACAGCUUAUCUGCCUAGCCUUGAAUCUGUAUAGUAAUCCUUCUGCUUCCAUCUCUAGAGUGCCAAAAUUAUAGGGAUGUUCCACUCACAACACUUAGCCACCCACCUGCUUUGGGUAGGAAUUUAAAUUUGCAAAUAUAACAAUCUAAUACAAUGUGAUUUUUUUUCACUUUUAGGCAUAAAUGCACUGGAAUAAUAUCCUCAGAACAUUUAGUGUGAAUUAUUGUUGUCAUCUUCUGUUCUGAAAUUUGAGCUUUUUAAAAUAAUGUAUGAGUGUUCUGCCUUCGUGUAUGUCUGUGCAGUGCGUGCUGGAGGAAGUGCUUAGGCUCCGUGUGGGUGCUGGGAAUUGAACCUGGGUCUUUUACAACAACAAAAUGCUCUUAACCUCUGAGUAACUCUGCAGCCUUGAAACUUGAAUUUCAAAAAUUUCCACGUAAAAAAUGAGCAAAUUGACAUGCAUAUUCAGUUGUUAGCGCUCACCACAUCUGACUUGGCCUAAACUAUCAGUUUAGUUUUCCUUUCAUAGCCAUUAAAUAAAUUUUGGGUAUUUUGUUGUUGUUGUUGUUGUCAUUUUUGUUAGAACAAUUUCUUUUGCAAAUAUGUUACAUAAGCUCAUUUUCCUAGAAAAAAAUCACAUGGAAAUGGAAUUUUUAAGUAUUUAGUAGUAUGCCCUACAAAUGAUUCUGUCACUUUUCACAUAUCAAAUUUUAGAACUGGGAAUUUAAAAUGUUUAGAGAAGAAACAGUUCCAAAGAUUUUAUAGUGGCAUUAUUGCUACAUCAAAGAUAAUAUUAACAUACCCAGCUUUUAACUUCCUAAAUUUGUUGCAAUAUUUCAUACCUUUAGCUUUGCUAUUUAAGUAGAUUCUUUGUGCCCUGGCAAUUGUUGCUCUGUCAUCAGAACUUAAACCUGGUAGUGUUUUCUCCGUGUUCUUAGACAACUUCAUAAGAUGGCUAUGGUUCAGAAGCGUCCUACAAAGGCUUCUAUGUAUGUUAAUGGUUAAUUUGCAGACAGGGAACCAGAAAGGGUCAGUGUACUAGAAUAACAGCCAUGGGAGACACUCAAAGGACAGAAUGUGAGGGUUCUUACCUCAGAUUCUGUAUUCUGUCAUUGUGCUCCAACAAAUUACCGGUUGCUUAUUAUUAAAUUCAAAAAGUAUCUCAUUAUUCUGAUGCAGUCAAGAUGAUGAUAUAGCUUGGGCAACAUGCCUAUAAAUGUUUGUGAAGUGCUAAGCUUUAUGGAAACAAGAUGAAUUAAUUUUAGAAGUUUUAUAAGGUAAAAAGUAAAUGUUUCUAAAGAAAAAUAUUAAUGGAAACAAAUAGAGUUGAAGGGGGAAAUAGGACAAUUUGGUUUGAUCUAUCUUCUUAAAUUGUUGUAAAAUUCUGUUUUCUUAUACAAAUAAUAUUUAUUUCAGGUAUUUAAAGAUUGCCAUGUAUUCCUAUGUACACUCAAGUUACCUUCUUAAGCAAAACAUUUAGUUUACUUUUCAGAAUGGCUUUUUUUUUCCUUUUAAGAACAUUAGUAAAAAGUUGAACUAUGUAAAAACCCAACAAAGAAAAUUAUUUUGGUCCUUAGGCCAAAAUAUAAACCACUGAAUUUGGAAUGGGGCAUGAUGGUGCACGCCUUUAAUCCUAGCAUGCAGGAGGGAAAACAGGCAGAUAGAUCUCUGAGUUCCAGUCCAGCCUGGUCUAUAGAGUGAAUUGCAGGACAGCAGCCACUGUCCUCAAAACCUCUCUCAAAAAACCACUGAAUUUGAAAUUAUAAUCAUUGCAUAAAGCUAAAGGACAAAAUCACUUUUAGCAGCUUUUAUCUUUAAUUAUUUUCAGACUUUUUUUUUUAAGCUGGCACACUUGAAAGCAAAGGUUUGAAGAUUUAAAGACGUUUUGAUAUUUCAGAUGACCAAACAUGAACGGGAAUGGAGAAAUGGCAUUGGCCCACUAGAAAACGUUUGCUACACAGUAAUCUAGUUUGAAUGGAAAAUCUGGUAUGAACUGGAAUAAUAAAAACAGUUCUUUGUCCCCUGCUAAACAGAAAAGAGUCUUUUUAAUAGUGUAAGAAAACCUAGAUAUUCACACACAUAAAAUGAAGUUGGAACUUAUGUAGUAAACAUUUUGUUUCAGCUAAGUCAAAGUCCUGUCGUAUAAAAUGAUACUCCUUUAAAGGAAUAGCCUUUUUAACUGAGAAACAUACAAAUGGUUACUUAGGCUUGAGCUACAGGAUUUCUGAUAUAUCCUUUUAGGAAAUCAAAUAGACCUGUUAUCCUAAGAUGAUGUUCUGGGUAAUAAUAAAUGACACUGAACUCAGAAUAACUAUUCCAAUAUUGAGAUAAAUCUUGAGUGUUCAUGUGUAGAUGGGGGUUAUAUAUUUUGGGGAAUAUAUUUCAUGUGUAUGUCUUCUAAAUAUUUUGCUAGUAUAAAUUUCUUGAAACUGAGCUCUUACAUGUUUGUUCUUACAUGUUUCCUUUAACAUGAAGCUUUGUCCUGUGGAUUUGGCUUUGAAGGGUGUGCUGCUCUUAAUAAGGUAAAAACCAAAUUUUGUAACUAUUUCAUGUGUUAAUAAGCACAUUCAAAAGUUGUUAGUUCAUGGAAAAAUGACUUGCUUUUCUCAUUUCAUAACUACAAUAAAUUACAGCACUGUAUUAAGUUUUCUGUACGCUUUUAUUAAACUUAUGAUAUGGAAAUACUUUUUAUUCUGCUGAAAGCCUAUAAAAUUAUGCACAUACCAGUGUUAGAUUUUUUCAAACAUGGAUUUUAUGUAUUCUGCUUUUUCCUAAAAAGAUUUUUUGUAAAUUACAAAAAAUUAGAUGCUAUGAGUUUUCAAAAACAAACCCUUGGAGUAAAGUAGCAGCACAUAAUGGUUUGUGGAUGUUGAAAAGGUGCAGGCCAUAUUGUGCUGCCUCAAAAUACAAGGAUCUGAUCUUCUGAAGAAAGUACCUGUCUUUUUAUUCAUAGCUCCUAUGAUGGCAAUGUCAGCAGUGCCUUAGCAGCACGUAAAUAUUGGCGUUAAGAUCUGAAAUUACCUCCAGUAUUGACUGUGCUGCUGAAGUAAGGUUGGCAAUACUCUACAACUGUAAUUCAAUGUGUAUUAAUGUUACUUGUGUGUUUACAAGUUUUUCUAAUUGCAUUAGUGAUUUUAUGUUUGGUAUGAUUCUGUAAUGAUGUUAGUAACAACGCUCUACAUAUUGUGUCUGUUAAAAUACUAUAUAAUUGUGGGAUGGUAAUGCAGCUCAGUUGGUCCAGUGCUUCUCGCUAGCAUGCACAAGGCCAUGGGUUUUAGCCUUACCACUGCAUACCAGGUACACUUGUAAUCCUAGAACUGAGGAAGUGGAAAAAAGAGAAUUAGAGGCUUAACAUCAUCCUUGGCCAUAAAGCAAGUCUAAGACCUAUGUAAGGAUCUGUCUUUUAAAAAACAAACAAAACAUAAUGACUUCUGUGUCUGUGAGGAAUUGAUUAUAGGACUUCUAGAUACCCAGAUUUGUAAAUGCUUGGGUCUCCUGUAUAAAAUGUCUGCUCGUGACCAGUCCAUAUCCUCCCUUAUAUUUAUUUAAACUUAUCUCUACAUUGUUUUUAAUGUGUAGUGCAGUGGGAUGUUAACAUGGAUAGUUGUAUUGUUCAAGUUAUUCUCGUAAUGACAAGAAAAAACUGGACAAUUCAGUACAAAUGCAGUUUUUGUCCAAGAAAUAAUUUUUUUGGUUUGGUCUUUUGAGCCUGGGUCUCACCAUGUAGACCAGGCUGCCACGAAACUCACUAAGAUCCUCUUGCCUCUGCCUCCCAAAUUCUUUGUUUAAAACUGUAGGCCCCAAUGCCUGGCUAUCCAAAUGUUUUGAAUGUGUGGUUGGUUGGAUCCACAGAUGGAGCACUAACUAAUGAUAUAACAAGUAUUUUUAAGUCUUGAAUACCUUUCCAGAGUUUCUUAAGAGCUACAGUGGUAGAGUAUAUACCUAGUACAACCAAGUCUCGAGUUCUCUUUCCAGCAUUUCCAUAUAAAAGUUCAUUUGAAAGAGUUUAGGAAGUACCAAAUUCUACAUGAAUUUAAACUUAUAUUAUUGCUUAUAAUAGAAAAAUAUUUUUCUCUUGAUUUGAAGUUUUCUUUAGAUACAGAUAAAGUUUGAAAUGCUACAGAUUAUAACAUAAUCUUUAGUAUAAUGCGUCUAAAUAUUUCAUUUUAAAUGAAGGAGAAAAACACUAAAAUGUGUAUGUUGAAUUUUUACACUUUAAAUUUAGAAGAAUCCUUAGAAUAGCUGACCUUUUUAUUGGUUAAUUGAGGAAACAAUCUGAAAUUUAAUUUGCAGCCUAUGACGUAUUAGGGUAUAAAUCCUUUAUCUUCUAACUUAAUAAUUACUGUUUUUCUUAUUUUUUACUAAAAUGUUUAACAGGAGAUUUUUAACAAGUCAAAAGUAUGAAAGACAUCUGUGCCUUAAUUUUUAACUUCAGAUUAAAGCUAACAUAGUUAUUAAUUUUAUAAAUAUAUUCAGAAUAUUUUAAUUAUUUAAAAGGAAAUGUUCUUUUAACUAUCCCAUGUGCUUUAUUUUAAAUAUUUUAAGUCAUUAUUUUAAAAUGUUCAAGAAAACACAUUAUCUCACAAUAAUGUCCUCUAACUCUGUCAUUACUUCUCACAAGGAGUCUCUGACUUUUCAGAUUCAGUGUAAAGUUUAAAUACAUCUUCACUGACUUGGAAAUCGAGAGUUCAUUUCUAUCUUUGUGACUAUUUUUGAAUCAUAAAUAGUAGCAAAAUUAAAGUUAUACACAUUUACAUUAAUAACUAGUUAUCUUUCAAGAAAAUAAUUAGACGUGGAUGUUCUUUUGUGACCUAGAGUUUUACACAUACCAUUUUACAAGUUAACAUUCUAAUUAAAAUUGGUUUGUUUGGUUUUGUUUUUUUCCUUUUGCAAAGGAAUAUUACUAUCCUUGUAUGAUAAAUUUUUUCUCAGUGUUGUUUCUCAUUAAAUACCAUCCAAAAAGAAAAGAAAAUGUCCUUAAUUGUUUUAAAUAGAUUUGGAUCCAGCACGUAUUUAUACAUACUACUUACAUAUCUUGGAGAAGAAAUGAAAGACCGUUAAUGCAUUCCAUCUUCCAAGAAGUUAAGGGGUAACUUAGAAUGAGUUUAUUUCUAAUACCUGGAACCUUUUACUGCACAGCUUAUUCGUCCACCAGAAACUGAAGGGGUCAUGUUCUUGGCUUGUAUGUUUAUGAAGUAUGUCCUAGGCACGGCAGUUUCCAAUUCCUCUGUUCCUUUUUUACUUUCUGUUGUUUUGUUUUCCUUUGGUUUUCUUUGUUUUCUUUCAGUGUGUAGUCAUUAAGCCCAGAACCUCAGAGGGCUCUACUACUAAACCAUAUACCAAUACCAAAACCGGAAAAUAUUGAUGCUACUUUUGUGCUGAAUAUUCCUCAGCCUUACCUUACUAAUGCUUAUGCCCAAUGGAUCUUCCUUCAUGAAGCACCCUCUCCUCCCCCCAUUUAUCUUCGGUGAUUCUAAUAAAUAAUACCUUUGGAAAAUGA